GACGAACGCUGGCGGCGUGCUUAACACAUGCAAGUCGUACGGUAAGGCCCUUUCGGGGGUACACGAGUGGCGAACGGGUGAGUAACACGUGAGUAACCUGCCCACAACUUUGGGAUAACGCUAGGAAACUGGUGCUAAUACUGGAUAUGUGAUCAUGCUGCAUGGUGGGGGUUGGAAAGCUCCGGCGGUGGUGGAUGGACUCGCGGCCUAUCAGCUUGUUGGUGGGGUAGUGGCCCACCAAGGCGGCGACGGGGAGCCGGCCUGAGAGAGUGACCGGCCACAUUGGGACUGAGAUACGGCACAGACUCCUACGAGAGGCAGCAGUGGGGAAUAUUGCACAAUGGGCGCAAGCCUGAUGCAGCAACGCCGCGUGCGGGAUGACGGCCUUCGGGUUGUAAACCGCUUUCAGCAGGGACGAAGCUUUUUGUGACGGUACCUGCAGAAGAAGCACCGGCUAACUACGUG
rnacentral:rRNA from 1 species